rnacentral:rRNA from 1 species
UUGACCUCGGAUCAGGUAGGAGUACCCGCUGAACU